rnacentral:tRNA from 1 species
UCCUUGGUGGCUCAGGAGGUGAAGCGUCUGCCUAAAAUGCAGGAGACCCAAGUUCAAUCCCUGGGUGGGGAA